UUGACCAAUUGACCUCAAAU
rnacentral:rRNA from 1 species